AAAAAAAUGAUUUUGUCACAAGACGAAUUUCUUCUACUACCUUGUUUUCAGGAGGUUCUUCAAAUUGCCUAGCUAUUCCAAUUUAUUGGAACCAAGUUGUCACAAAUAGGUCUCGGCUCCGCAUUGAUCGGGUCGAUUUUUUCCCGUUUCAAAUUCAGCUUGACGUAUCUUCAUAGCUUGGCCCAUACUUCUUUUGGUUCAUAAAUUCCUUAACUGGAAAGAUUCGGAUCCGGAUCCUACUAAGUUAUUUGGGCUGUACUUCAAUGUUCAGUAGGUCACUAUCCUUCUCCUAAACUUCAAGACCAAAUGGAUCAAAAAGGAAACAAUUAUUUCCUGCUUCUCUGGAUGUUCUAUUUCCUUCGCAUUGCUCUCACUGUUUGUUAGACAAAUUACGAUGGUAAAAUAAACCAAACGCUCAGAUAAAGAACUUUGGCUGGUGACUACACACUGGUACAAUUGGAAAUUUUGCCAUUCAUUCUUGGGUUUUCUGUUACGAAUCUUCAUCGAUAUCGCACAAGAUACUGAAACAACCACGUCCCUUUCAAGGCGGGCAAUUGCUACGUGUGACGAAAGGAACUGUGGACAUGAUCCUCAUAAUAACUCACAUUUUGAACGAACAUCACAUUUCCAACGAGGAUCAUGGCUGAAACCAGAAGCAUCGACUAAAAGGUAUAUGUGAUACAUUUAAGUGUAAAAAAUUGUGUCGUUCAUCUAAAUGAAGAGGGAUUUUCCAUCGAAUUGGAAGUCACUUCUAACAAAUCAGCUAACGUGUCUACUACAUUUUAAAGAUUUAAUUAGAAGGGAUUAUCUACCCCCCCCUCUCCUAAACUACACGGAACUAAGACCAUGGAGGAAUAAAAAUUAAAACACGGACAACUAAACACAUAAAAAGAACUGAAACACUGUAUUAACUGUAACCUUAAAGAAGAAUUUAAAUAAGUCAUUAUCAGAAAGCAUCUGUGUAAGACUAUUGAAUUGUAUCAAUUAUGUAAUUAAAAUGAGAAAUUAACAUUA
rnacentral:lncRNA from 1 species